AGAAUCAACGCUGGCGGCGUGCCUCAGACAUGCAAGUCGAACGAUUAAAGCUCUCUUCGGAGAGUGUAUAGAGUGGCGCACGGGUGAGUAACACGUAAGUAAUCUACCUCGGGGUGGGGAAUAACAGUCGGAAACGACUGCUAAUACCGCAUAAUGCAGCGGCUUCUUAUGAAGACAGUUGUUAAAGCAUUUAUGUGCCUGGAGAGGAGCUUGCGGCAGAUUAGCUAGUUGGUAAGGUAAUGGCUUACCAAGGCAACGAUCUGUAGCCGACCUGAGAGGGUGGUCGGUCACACUGACACUGAAUAACGGGUCAGACUCCUACGGGAGGCAGCAGUCGGGAAUUUUGGGCAAUGGGCGAAAGCCUGACCCAGCAACGCCGCGUGAAGGAUGAAGUAUUUCGGUAUGUAAACUUCGUAAAAAUGGGAAGAAUAAAUGACGGUACCAUUUGUAAGGUCCGGCUAACUACGUGCCAGCAGCCGCGGU
rnacentral:rRNA from 1 species